CACACAAGAAGUGGAGCUGCUCCACUGCAGCUGAUGAAGGCUACAGCAGGUGUGUGCAGGAGGCCAUUGACUU